GUUGUAUAGUCAAGUAAUUAAGUGCAUGUGGUGGAUGCCUUGGCAGUCAGAGGCGAUGAAAGACGUGAUAGCCUGCGAAAAGCUCCGGGGAGGCGGCAAAUAUCCUGUGAUCCGGAGAUUUCUGAAUGGGGGAACCCACCUACUUUAAGGUAGGUAUUGCAACAUGAAUACAUAGUGUUGCAAGGCGAACGAGGGGAAGUGAAACAUCUCAGUACCCUUAGGAAAAGAAAUCAAUUGAGAUUCCCUCAGUAGCGGCGAGCGAACGGGGAUCAGCCCAUUAAGUUAUGUGUGUUUUAGUGGAACGCUCUGGGAAGUGCGAACGUAGAGGGUGAUAUUCCCGUACACGAAAGGGCACACAUAAUGAUGACGAGUAGGGCGGGACACGUGGUAUCCUGUCUGAAUAUGGGGGGACCAUCCUCCAAGGCUAAAUACUCCUGACUGACCGAUAGUGAACCAGUACCGUGAGGGAAAGGCGAAAAGAACCCCGGCGAGGGGAGUGAAACAGAACCUGAAACCGUGUACGUACAAGCAGUGGGAGCCUACUUGUUAGGUGACUGCGUACCUUUUGUAUAAUGGGUCAGCGACUUAUAUUCUGUAGCAAGGUUAACCGCAUAGGGGAGCCGAAGGGAAACCGAGUCUUAA
rnacentral:rRNA from 1 species